rnacentral:lncRNA from 1 species
AUUGGAUGAGUGGUAUAGAGAAAGAGAAGAAGUACGAAACAAGGAAGAAUUGUUCUAACAUUCUUGGCCUGGAUAAUUCCAAUAACCUAAAUGGCACCACCGUAGCCAACUGAUUGAAGCUAGCAUUAUCACUAUUGGGACAAAACUGUAUCACAUGCCUCUUGAUAUGAUAUACUAUGAAAGAUGCUACAUCACUUUGAUGAUAUCCUGCCAAAAAUGCAUAACCUGAAUCUAAUCAUGAGGAAACAUCAGAAAAACCAAGUUGAGUGAAAUUCUACAAAAUAAUUGGUCUAUACUCUUCAAAUAUGUCAAGGAUAAAAAACACAAAGAAAAUAUGAGAAACUAAUCCAGAUUAAAGGAGAUUUAAAGGACCAGACAAUUAAGUGCAAAGCAUAACUCUGAAUGGAGAUGGAAUAAAAGAACUCUAAGGCAGAGGUUGGCAAACCAGUUCUGUGAAGAGCCAGAUAGUAAAUAUUUUAGGCUGUAUGGACCAUAUGGUCUAUGUUGCAACUUUUCAACUCUGUGAUUAUAGUGUGAAAGCAGCCAUAGACAGCACGUAAACAAA